GACGUAGGGUGCGAGCGUUGUCCGGAAUUAUUGGGCGUAAAGAGCUCGUAGGCGGUUCCGUAAGUCAGAUGUGAAAACUCAGGGCUCAACCCGGAGACGCCAUCUGAUACUGCGGUGACUGGAGUCUGGUAGGGGAACACGGAAUUCCUGGUGUAGCGGUGAAAUGCGUAGAUAUCAAGAGGAACACCUGCGGCGAAGGCGGGUUGCUGGGCCGACACUGACGCUGAUGCGCGAAAGCGUGGGGAGCGAACAGG
rnacentral:rRNA from 1 species